CCUACGGGAGGCAGCAGUGGGGAAUAUUGCGCAAUGGGCGAAAGCCUGACGCAGCGACGCCGCGUGAGGGAUGAAGGUCUUCGGAUCGUAAACCUCUGUCAGCAGGGAAGAACGGUCACUGUGCUAAUCAGCAGUGAAUUGAUGGUACCUGCAAAGGAAGCACCGGCUAACUCCGUGCCAGCAGCCGCGGUAAUACGGAGGGUGCGAGCGUUAAUCGGAAUUACUGGGCGUAAAGCGCUCGUAGGCGGUAUGUCAAGUCAAGGGUGAAAUCCCCGCGCUCAACGUGGGAACUGCCUUUGAAACUGGCAAACUGGGGUGUGUGAGAGGAUAGUGGAAUUCCAGGUGUAGGAGUGAAAUCCGUAGAUAUCUGGAGGAACAUCAGUGGCGAAGGCGACUAUCUGGCACAUAACUGACGCUGAGGAGCGAAAGCGUGGGUAGCAAACAGGAUUAGAUACCCGUGUAGUC
rnacentral:rRNA from 1 species